CGUAGGGUGCAAGCGUUGUCCGGAAUCAUUGGGCGUAAAGCGCGUGUAGGCGGCUUGGUAAGUCAGCUGUGAAAGCCCAGGGCUCAGCCCUGGGAUGCCGGUUGAUACUGCCAAGCUCGAGUCCGGAAGAGGAGUGUGGAAUUCCUGGUGUAGCGGUGAAAUGCGCAGAUAUCAGGAGGAACACCAAUGGCGAAGGCAGCACUCUGGGACGUGACUGACGCUGAGACGCGAAAGCGUGGGGAGCAAACAGGAUUAGAUACCCUGGUAGUCCACGCCGUAAACGAUGGGCACUAGGUGUGGGAGGUGUCGACUCCUCCCGUGCCGAAGCUAACGCAUUAAGUGCCCCGCCUGGGGAGUACGGCCGCAAGGCUA
rnacentral:rRNA from 1 species